UAGGGAAUAUUGCGCAAUGGGGGCAACCCUGACGCAGCAAUGCCGCGUGAGUGAGGAAGGCCUUCGGGUUGUAAAACUCUGUCCUUGGGGAAAAAUGGGUCUGUAGUAAAUAGCUAUAGGCCGUGAUGGUACCCGAGAAGAAAGCACCGGCUAACUUCGUGCCAGCAGCCGCGGUAAUACGAAGGGUGCAAGCGUUGUUCGGAUUUAUUGGGCGUAAAGCGCGCGCAGGCGGAUUGGCAAGUCAUGUGUGAAAUCUCGGGGCUUAACCUCGAAAUUGCGCCUGAAACUACCAGUCUUGAAUACUGGAGAGGGAAGGGGAAUUUCUCAUGUAGGGGUAAAAUCCGUAGAUAUGAGAAGGAACACCAGAGGCGAAGGCGCCUUCCUAGACAGUGAUUGACGCUGAGGCGCGAAAGCGUGGGGAGCAAACAGGAUUAGAUACCCGUGUAGUCC
rnacentral:rRNA from 1 species